UUUCUGUUGACCACAGAUCUGUUUCCCCUUCACUCAAUUGCUCACAGGGUAUUCAAGUGUCAAAAUGUAGCGUCCAGAUGAGUUUCUUUUCCCCUUCUGAAUGAAAACAUCUGCACUGCUGUCAUGACUUGAACUCAAGCUGCUUUGUCACCGUGGCUUUGGGAACGUUUCUCUAAGCAGGACUAUAUAUUGUCUGACAUGUUUGUCAAAGCAUGAAUGUUUUGCUAUCUGCGUUCUCCAAAAAAUGGAUGGGAACCCAGUUCUGUCAGGCAGUCUGUAUGAGUUUUUACAGCUGCAAAAGAAACACCGUGGCUAACUGUGAACUACUUUAACACUCUUUUUCUGGCUAAAAUAGACAAAAUACCUGAAGUACCACCUAUGAAGUCAAAACACCUAUGUGUAAAAUGUUCAACUGGAGAAUCAGGUAGGGCAAUUUAAGAGAGGAUUAUAGCCUUGUCUGGGGGAGGUAUAGUGAAGAAGAUGCAAAGAGCAUUGUGUCUGACCAAAUCCUAAGGCCGGUGUUUAGUUCUGGUCAGAACGUGGACCCACAGGGCAUGCUUUUGUCCCCUGGUCUGGUGCUGCGUGUGGCAUCAGCUGCCACGUGAGGAGGUUGUGGUAGCAUCACUCAUGGUCAUCUCAAGACUGGUGGCUCAGUUCUGUGGUGUCAGUGCAGGGAGGAGUGCAGCCAAGGCGAGUGCUGAGGCUCCUCACUGUGGACAGGAGAAAGUGAAAAAGCAAGAUGAGAGGUUUAAGGAAUUAUGGAAACAGCAAAGAAAGUUAAUGCUGACGUGUUAUUCACCAAACCCUGCAGUAGUAGUUAAGGGAAACUUAACCUGGUGGAGGGUUGGUUAGAAGCAGGUAGAAGUACUUUUCAUGGGACAAGCCCACAGCAGUGCAGGUAAGCAGAGGUUGAAAGUGAGCUCUCUAAUCUGAGGUGCUGUUAACUUGUUUAUCUUUGUAUUUUUAAACAGGCCUAACGUGUGGAAGGCGUUGGAUUCUCAGACACGAGUCAGAUACUUGGAGAGAUGCAUUUCUUGGAAUUCACAGCCAAAAGAUUUAGUGGGAAAACAUUUGGACACUCAGUGAGUGAGGAAGCGCUCAGAAAUAGUUUUGCCACUUUUAAUGAACUUUAAAACGUUGUUUGGUAAAGAGCAUCACAGAUGAUUUAAGUACAGUAAGCUGAAUGAGAACUCAUUUCUGAGUUUCUAUGGCAUCACUGUAAAAAA
rnacentral:lncRNA from 1 species